ACGAACGCUGGCGGCGUGCCUAAUACAUGCAAGUUGAGCGCUGAAGGUUGGUACUUGUACCAACUGGAUGAGCAGCGAACGGGUGAGUAACGCGUGGGGAAUCUGCCUUUGAGCGGGGGACAACAUUUGGAAACGAAUGCUAAUACCGCAUAAAAACUUUAAACACAAGUUUUAAGUUUGAAAGAUGCAAUUGCAUCACUCAAAGAUGAUCCCGCGUUGUAUUAGCUAGUUGGUGAGGUAAAGGCUCACCAAGGCGAUGAUACAUAGCCGACCUGAGAGGGUGAUCGGCCACAUUGGGACUGAGACACGGCCCAAACUCCUACGGGAGGCAGCAGUAGGGAAUCUUCGGCAAUGGACGAAAGUCUGACCGAGCAACGCCGCGGGAGUGAAGAAGGGUUUCGGAUCGUAAAACUCUGUUGGUAGAGAAGAACGUUGGUGAGAGUGGAAAGCUCAUCAAGUGACGGUAACUACCCAGAAAGGGACGGCUAACUACGUG
rnacentral:rRNA from 1 species